GUCAGGAGUGUUUUGAAAUGGACUUUUGUGACAGUGGUGAUUAUGAUUCUGCUACCAAUACUCUUCGUCGCAUUCUCAACCUUAAUAUGGUUGAGAGUUGAGACUGACUAGGAGUGGUUAAUAGUUCUGUAAAUAAAAAUGCAUACUUCAAUGGAGCAUAAUAGAGGUAGAUUGUGUAUAGAGUGAAUAAGUUGUUGGUACGCUCUUUCGGGAUUUCAUACUAGUUAAGUGAAUGGUUCUUUCUUGAAGUCUGGAUAUCUAAAGGUUCUAGGUAAUUGAUCAGUAUGCUGAAAAUGGAUUAAGACAGUGAGUUAGAGAGACGAGGCAGGUUCUUUAUGAAGGUAGACAUAGGAAAUUAUAGGUUCUGACCGUUCUGUCAUGGUGUUGUAGUAACAUUUUUGGCAGUUUGGAGGAGAUCUGCAUUCUUUAUGGUUGAUGAACCGAUGAUAUUGCUGCUGGAGUAACAUUAUUGUCGUUAUUGUCAGUUUCAACUAUAGGCAUCUAGUUUUCUAUACUUGUAUAUAGUUCAGAAAUCUUGUUGGUCAUUCUAGUUGUGUAGCUGUGUAGGAUCCUUCUUCAAACUUCUUUAACUUAAAAAACCAACUCCGGGCUCAAUUUGUUGAUUCCUUCUCUGUAGUCGGUUCUUAGUGAUUUUCAAGCACCUCCCUUUCAAACUUGUAUGUGGGCAGUGUGUAAGUUAUCUUCAUUUUCGAGUGUCUCUUUCUUAAUUCAUCUUCAUACCAAGUCUAACUUAUCUUUUUGUUUACCUAAGUUAAGUAAUUUCCCCAUGUUUAAUACUUUAAUGUUCCUCUUUAUCAUCUUUUCUGGUUUUUAUGAAAGAAAGAUGAGAAGGGAAAGUCAAAGUUGCUAGCUUGUUUUCUGUUCUACUCUUUAGGUCAAUUGUAGUGUUCUUUUUCUUGGGUAAUUGUUGCUAGCAGGUCCUGUUCACUGUCUCUGUUUUACAAUGUCUCUGUCCACUUGUCCAGUUCUACAAAUGGUUUUGUCUUUGGAAAUUGAUCUUGCCAAGCCACUUACAGUACAAGGUAAGGUAGCCAACCAGGGAAACAUCUUCAGGAGGCUAUUCUUUUGCUUGAUGGUAGUAGUUUUUUCAUGUCACUGUGUUUGUUUCGUUCACUUCCCAACAAGACUUCUGUUUGAUGGGCUAUGAAAAUGCUUGUGUUAUGUCUA